UUGAUUCAUGCUCAGAUUGAACGCUGGCGGCAGGCUUAACACAUGCAAGUCGAGCGGGGGAAGGUAGCUUGCUACUGGACCUAGCGGCGGACGGGUGAGUAAUGCUUAGGAAUCUGCCUAUUAGUGGGGGACAACAUCUCGAAAGGGAUGCUAAUACCGCAUACGUCCUACGGGAGAAAGCAGGGGAUCUUCGGACCUUGCGCUAAUAGAUGAGCCUAAGUCGGAUUAGCUAGUUGGUGGGGUAAAGGCCUACCAAGGCGACGAUCUGUAGCGGGUCUGAGAGGAUGAUCCGCCACACUGGGACUGAGACACGGCCCAGACUCCUACGGGAGGCAGCAGUGGGGAAUAUUGGACAAUGGGGGGAACCCUGAUCCAGCCAUGCCGCGUGUGUGAAGAAGGCCUUAUGGUUGUAAAGCACUUUAAGCGAGGAGGAGGCUACUUUAGUUAAUACCUAGAGAUAGUGGACGUACUCGCAGAAUAAGCACCGGCUACUUC
rnacentral:rRNA from 1 species